rnacentral:rRNA from 1 species
UACGUAGGGCGCAAGCGUUGUCCGGAAUUAUUGGGCGUAAAGAGCUCGUAGGCGGUCUGUCGCGUCUGUUGUGAAAACUCGAGGCUCAACCUCGGGCUUGCAGUGGAUACGGGCAGACUAGAGUGCGGUAGGGGAGACUGGAAUUCCAGGUGUAGCGGUGAAAUGCGCAGAUAUCGGGAAGAACACCCGUGGCGAAGGCGGCUCUCUGGGACGGUACUGACGCUGAGACGCGAAAGCGUGGGGAGCGAACAGG